rnacentral:rRNA from 1 species
AGCGGCGGAUGGGUGAGUAACACGUGGGGAACCUGCCCCUAAGUCUGGGAUACCAUUUGGAAACAGGUGCUAAUACCGGAUAAUAAAGCAGAUCGCAUGAUCAGCUUUUGAAAGGCGGCGUAAGCUGUCGCUAAGGGAUGGCCCCGCGGUGCAUUAGCUAGUUGGUAAGGUAACGGCUUACCAAGGCGACGAUGCAUAGCCGAGUUGAGAGACUGAUCGGCCACAUUGGGACUGAGACACGGCCCAAACUCCUACGGGAGGCAGCAGUAGGGAAUCUUCCACAAUGGACGCAAGUCUGAUGGAGCAACGCCGCGUGAGUGAAGAAGGUUUUCGGAUCGUAAAGCUCUGUUGUUGGUGAAGAAGGAUAGAGGUAGUAACUGGCCUUUAUUUGACGGUAAUCAACCAGAAAGUCACGGCUAACUACGCGCCAGCAGCCGCGGUAAUACGUAGGUGGCAAGCGUUGUCCGGAUUUAUUGGGCGUAAAGCGAGCGCAGGCGGAAAAAUAAGUCUAAUGUGAAAGCCCUCGGCUUAACCGAGGAACUGCAUCGGAAACUGUUUUUCUUGAGUGCAGAAGAGGAGAGUGGAACUCCAUGUGUAGCGGUGGAAUGCGUAGAUAUAUGGAAGAACACCAGUGGCGAAAGGCGGCUCUCUGGUCUGCAACUGACGCUGAGGCUCGAAAGCAUGGGUAGCGAACAGGAUUAGAUACCCUGGUAGUCAUGCGUAACGAUGAGUGUUAAGUGU